UGUAAUUGCAGGUUGGUAGUUAAAUUACAUUUUUUGUAGUUAACUACUGUAGUUUAACUACGAAGCCGCGCCCGCGACCUCGUGGUGAUCGCGCGAAGCCGUAGCAGACGCCUUAGCCCGAGGCACCCGCUUGGUCGCGGCCGGAGGCAAUCCAAUCCAAGUAUUAGCGUUCUGGGUUGCAGCGAGCAUGCGUUCGUUGUUGUUGCAGCAUGUUUCACGUUCUUCUUCUUGUCGGCGUUAUUGCCUGUGUCACUGUCGGGAUGGACUCCUUCGUGAUUGAGUACUGCUACAAGAAUGUUAAGGUGAAGGAGGGAAGCGCAAACUUCACUGCAGAGUGCCGGUUUUGCCCCUGUCGUACGUUGUCCGGCAGCGUGAGAAGUUCCAGUAACUUCUUGAAACACGUGCGGGGGCAACAUCCUGUCCAGUUCACGGACUACGAGAGACAAAAGAACAGCAAGAGACGAAAAAAGAAAGGGGACGUCGACGGUGCGCAAAGGAGUGCUGACUCGAACCAGGGUCCCCAUGGCAGCAAACAAGCGAGCCUGUGCCAGAUUGUGGAAAAUGCGUGCGACAAGAAGAUAACACAAGAAGCAUUUGACAAAGCUGUUACAGAACUGAUAGUCACUGACAUGAUGCCAACUGCAACAGUUGAGAGAACAGGAUUUGAGAACUUCUGCAGAACAGUGGCUCCUAGGUUGUCAAUUCCAAGUCGAAGAACAGUGGUGCGGCGCAUAACAGCAAUGUUCUAUGAAAAGAAAACGGAGAUAAUUGAGGAAAUCUCAAACGCACUGUGGGGAAGGCCUGAAAAUAUUUUCCUUUGUUUUGUUGAAUUGCCUUCUGGAAAAAUUUGAAGCUCACUGGAGCACUAGAAGAGUUUUGUAUCUGCUCUGUACCAAUUUAUGACCGCAGACAGGUGAGCGCUUUGGGACUCAGGGGCACCAGGAUGGUGUGAACGCAUUACGAAUGUACAUCGAAUUAAAUUAUUACUUCAACCGA